CACCGCCCGUCACGCCAUGGAAGUUGGUGUUGCCUGAAAAGGCUGAGCUAACCGCAAGGAGGCAAGUCUUAAUGGUGAUACCGAUGACUGGGGUG
rnacentral:rRNA from 1 species